rnacentral:rRNA from 1 species
UAACGCUAGCGGCGUGCUUUAUGCAUGCAAGUCGAACGGUCUCGAUUAUCGAGAUAGUGGCAAACGGGUGAGUAACGCGUAAGUAACCUGCCCUUAAGUAGGGGAUAACUCCGAGAAAUUGGCGUAAUACCGCAUGUGGUGGUGGAGGUAAGGCUCCAUCACUAAAGCCUUCGGGCGCUUAAGGAGGGGCUUGCGUCCGAUUAGCUAGUUGGUAGAGUAACGGUCUACCAAGGCGAUGAUCGGUAGCUGGUUUGAGAGGACGGCCAGCCACAUUGGGACUGAGACACGGCCCAGACUCCUACGGGAGGCAGCAGCAAGGAAUUUUGUGCAAUGGGCGAAAGCCUGACACAGCGACGCCGCGUGGGGGAUGAGGGCCUUCGGGUCGUAAACCCCUUUUAUCAGGGAAGAAUAAUGACGGUACCUGAGGAAUAGGCCUCGGCCAACUACGUGCCAGCAGCCGCGGUAAUACGUAGGAGGCAAGCGUUAUCCGGAUUUACUGGGCGUAAAGCGGGCGCAGGCGGCCUUUCAAGUCGGAUGUAAAAUCUCCCGGCUCAACUGGGAGGGAUCAUUCGAUACUGUUGGGCUAGAGGACAGCAGAGGGAGGUGGAAUUCCCGGUGUAGUGGUGAAAUGCGUAGAUAUCGGGAGGAACACCAGUGGCGAAGGCGGCCUCCUGGGCUGUUUCUGACGCUGAGGCCCAAAAGCGUGGGGAGCGAACAGGAUCAGAUACCCUGGUAGUCCCACGCCCUAAACGAUGGACCACUAGGUAUGGGAGCAAUCCGACCCUCUCCGUGCCGAACUAACGCCUUA